GAUGAAGAACGCAGCGAAAUGCGAUAAGUAAUGUGAAUUGCAGAAUUCAGUGAAUCAUCGAAUCUUUGAACGCACAUAGCGCCCGCCAGUAUUCUGGCGGGCAUGCCUGUUCGAGCGUCAUUACAACCCUCAGGCCCCCGGGCCUGGCGUUGGGGAUCGGCGGAGCCCCCCGUGGGCACACGCCGUCCCCCAAAUACAGUGGCGGUCCCGCCGCAGCUUCCAUCGCGUAGUAGCUAACACCUCGCGACUGGAGAGCGGCGCGGCCACGCCGUAAAACACCCAACUCUUCUGAAGUUGACCUCGAAUCAGGUAGGAAUACCCGCUGAACUUAAGCAUAUCAAAAGCGGAGGA
rnacentral:misc_RNA from 1 species